rnacentral:rRNA from 1 species
CAGCAGCCGCGGUAAUACGUAGGUGGCAAGCGUUGUCCGGAAUUAUUGGGCGUAAAGGGCUCGCAGGCGGUUUCUUAAGUCUGAUGUGAAAGCCCCCGGCUCAACCGGGGAGGGUCAUUGGAAACUGGGAAACUUGAGUGCAGGAGAGGAGAGUGGAAUUCCACGUGUAGCGGUGAAAUGCGUAGAGAUGUGGAGGAACACCAGUGGCGAAGGCGACUCUCUGGUCUGUAACUGACGCUGAGGAGCGAAAGCGUGGGGAGCGAACAGGAUUAGAUACCCCCGUAGUCCCUGUCUCUUAUAU